AGCAAUUUUUCAAAGUUCUAUGGGGCCUCUUAUGGAAGCAAGGUUGCUUACCCCUCUUUUGAGGAUUCAAGCAAAAUUGCUUUGGGAAAUAUUUUGAAAUUCCGGAAGAAGAACUGGCAGUUUGAUUUUAUUGGUGGUAUUAUAUACUUCAUCUUGGUCUUUUCAUUGUUCCCUCAGUGUAAGUUAGCUCACGUCUUACGAGGUGAUUCGUUUUCUGGUCACCUU